UCCGUAGGUGAACCUGCGGAGGGAUCAUUACACAAAUAUGAAGGCGGGCUGGAACCUCUCGGGGUUACAGCCUUGCUGAAUUAUUCACCCUUGUCUUUUGCGUACUUCUUGUUUCCUUGGUGGGUUCGCCCACCACUAGGACAAACAUAAACCUUUUGUAAUUGCAAUCAGCGUCAGUAACAAAUUAAUAAUUACAACUUUCAACAACGGAUCUCUUGGUUCUGGCAUCGAUGAAGAACGCAGCGAAAUGCGAUAAGUAGUGUGAAUUGCAGAAUUCAGUGAAUCAUCGAAUCUUUGAACGCACAUUGCGCCCUUUGGUAUUCCAAAGGGCAUGCCUGUUCGAGCGUCAUUUGUACCCUCAAGCUUUGCUUGGUGUUGGGCGUCUUGUCUCUAGCUUUGCUGGAGACUCGCCUUAAAGUAAUUGGCAGCCGGCCUACUGGUUUCGGAGCGCAGCACAAGUCGCACUCUCUAUCAGCAAAGGUCUAGCAUCCACUAAGCCUUUUUUUCAACUUUUGACCUCGGAUCAGGUAGGGAUACCCGCUGAACUUAAGCAUAUCAAUAAGCGGAGGA
rnacentral:rRNA from 4 species